rnacentral:rRNA from 1 species
AUAAGCAACUAUACGGUGAAACUGCGAAUGGCUCAUUAAAUCAGUUAUCGUUUAUUUGAUAGUACCCUACUACAUGGAUAACCGUGGUAAUUCUAGAGCUAAUACAUGCUAAAAACCCCGACUCACGAAGGGGUGUACUUAUUAGAUAAAAAACCAAUGCCCUCCGGGGCUCCUUGGUGAAUCAUAAUAAUUCAACGAAUCGCAUGGCCUUGCGCCGGCGAUGGUUCAUUCAAAUUUCUGCCCUAUCAACUUUCGAUGGUAGGAUAGUGGCCUACCAUGGUUUCAACGGGUAACGGGGAAUUAGGGUUCGACUCCGGAGAGGGAGCCUGAGAAACGGCUACCACAUCCAAGGAAGGCAGCAGGCGCGCAAAUUACCCAAUGCCGACACGGCGAGGUAGUGACAAUAAAUACUGAUACAGGGCUCUUUCGGGUCUUGUAAUUGGAAUGAGUACAAUUUAAAUACCUUAACGAGGAACAAUUGGAGGGCAAGUCUGGUGCCAGCAGCCGCGGUAAUUCCAGCUCCAAUAGCGUAUAUUAAAGUUGUUGCAGUUAAAAAGCUCGUAGUUGAACCUUGGGCCUGGCUGGCCGGUCCGCCUCACCGCGUGCACUGGUCCGGCCGGGCCUUUCCUUCUGGGGAGCCGCAUGGCCUUCACUGGCCGUGUCGGGGAACCAGGACUUUUACUUUGAAAAAAUUAGAGUGUUCAAAGCAGGCCUUUGCUCGGAUACAUUAGCAUGGAAUAAUAGAAUAGGACGCGCGGUUCUAUUUUGUUGGUUUCUAGGACCGCCGUAAUGAUUAAUAGG